rnacentral:tRNA from 1 species
AUGGGAGUAGCUCAGUUGGUAGAGCACUGCGUUUGGGGCGCAGGGGCCGCAGGUUCAAGUCCUGUCUCCCGUACCA